GGAUGUGAGGGCGACCUGCCUGCUAUUCUCCCAGGACACUGAUCACCAGGGUUGAUUCGGCUGACCUGUCUGGCUGGGCAGGUGUCCCCUUCCUCCCUCACUGCUCCAUGGGCAUCCCUCUCAAGGCUGCGUGCUAGGUUGCAGAUGGCAGAGGACAACUGACCACCCUGAUCGAGGAGGAGUGGUCAAGGGUAUGCUAAUAGCUGCACUUGCCCGCUAGAACCUCCAAACAAGCUCACUUAGAAAAACAAAAACCACACUGCGCACUGAAUGUGUCCAAAAAUGCUUCUGCAUGGCAAAAGUCAUGAGCCUACUCUGAGGGACCAGUGAGUGGGGUUCCCUC
rnacentral:snRNA from 1 species